GACGAACGCUGGCGGCGUGCUUAACACAUGCCAGUCGAACGGAAAGGCCCUGCUUUUGUGGGGUGCUCGAGUGGCGAACGGGUGAGUAACACGUGAGUAUCCUGCCCUUGACUUUGGGAUAACUUCAGGAAACUGGGGCUAAUACCGGAUAGGAGCUCCUGCUGCAUGGUGGGGGUUGGAAAGUUUCGGCGGUUGGGGAUGGACUCGCGGCUUAUCAGCUUGUUGGUGGGGUAGUGGCUUACCAAGGCUUUGACGGGUAGCCGGCCUGAGAGGGUGACCGGCCACAUUGGGACUGAGAUACGGCCCAGACUCCUACGGGAGGCAGCAGUGGGGAAUAUUGCACAAUGGGCGGAAGCCUGAUGCAGCAACGCCGCGUGCGGGAUGACGGCCUUCGGGUUGUAAACCGCUUUCGCCUGUGACGAAGCGUGAGUGACGGUAAUGGGUAAAGAAGCACCGGCUAACUACGUG
rnacentral:rRNA from 1 species